rnacentral:miRNA from 1 species
AUAUAUGUGUGUGUGUGUGUGUGUGUGUGUGUGUGUAUGAGGACAGAGGCCAUACACACACACACACACACACACACACACACACACACAC